GCCUGGUUAGCUCAGUGAGUAGCAUGAGACUCCUAAUCUCAGGGUUGUGGGUUUGAGCCCCCUGUCGGGCA
rnacentral:tRNA from 1 species